CUGGCUCCUGGGUUCCGACAUUUGGUUGCAUCAACCGGAAAGAAGAAGAAAGGGGGAAAAGGGGGAGCAAAGCAACCGUGAGUACUCAUCCAAAGUACUCGCAAGCAAGGAUCUACACUACAUAUGCAACAUUAUCAAAGGAAGUCUGUAUAUGUGGACUGGGCUGCAGAAAUGCCAGAAUAGAGAGAAGGCCUAGUCCUAUUGAAGACUAGCAUCUUCUGGAAACCACCAUCCUGCAGCAACAGGAGGGAGUAGAGUAGCAUAAAGUAAAGUAGUAGUAAUGUUAUCAACCUCGGCCACAGAUCCUUUCUCGACUCCCUGCAAGAAAGCAAUCCCAGAGCCAUACUAUCCAGUUAUCAUCACAAUCCAUUCCUCAUAUCCAAGUCUCAUCUCAAGUCUCCAGUUCUAGUUGUAUCGAUCGGGAUACAACUCCAAGUGUCCGUUACCGUAGGACAGGCUAUCGAUAGAUGUUUUCUUCCCUGCAGGGGUGCACCAACUUACCCACCACGCUCGAUUAACUCCGGCCGGACACACUUUCCUGGGUCAUGCCCGGCCUCGGCCAAACAAUACACCACCACCCGACCUAGGCUUAAUAGAGAGGUCAGCACGCCGGACUAAACCUAUGCCCCCAGGGGUCAUGGGUCAUCUCCCCGGGAACUCCUGCACGUUGCGAACGCGGCCGGUGAGCAGACCUAGCUACCUCCUUCAACAAGGUAGGUGCUUUCCAGUCCAACCCGGCGCGCGCCGCUCAGUCGCUGACGUCUAUUAAGCUUUGGCUGAUGCAUACGACGCAGAACGCCCAUACUAUGCCCACGUGAUGGUUAGUGCUAUCAGGCCAGAGGCCCCUCGGAUCAAAUAUCCAAAUCGUAGUGGAUUAGGAACGCGCGUUAACAAGUAGAGACUCACGAAAGAUGUGACCCCGUUGCCCUGUCUCGAGGACUUGUGGCAAGGGCUAGGAAUGCCCGGCCACGCCUCGUAAUUAUCUCGCGGGCACCUUCCAGGUCCGCCCGACUCCACAUCACUCGCAAUUAAGCUCGCGCGGGUACCCCUCAGGGUCGACCUGUCUUUCCAAGUAACAGUGGUAAAGUCCAAGUUCUGUGUCUCCAAACAUCAAGGGGAAAACCCGAGGAAUCACCCCCGAUGAAUUCCACUAGAUGUAAUCAUCAAGGUGAACGUAAGAGGAAUCAACCCCGAGGUUCACACUUGAGGGGUUGCACGACAGAGUCGUAUCGGAAGUGGUUAAGGAGAAAUCACCCUCGAUGACCACGACCGAAUGACUACACUACAGGGUUAACAUCAGAAGUGCUGAAGAGGUUUCACCCUCGGCACUCGAUAGUAACCCAGUAGUGUCGAGCAACUAAGGGGAAAGUGAUGUGCGGUGUCGGGGCCUGGUCUUCGAUCCCGUUGAUCGGGUCUUCGAUGAUGAAGCAGGGGCAACAGGGACAAGGUGGGGGGUCACUGAUGGAUCACUAACCAACCUAUACUAAGCAAUUUAGGAUAAGCAGGUAAGGUAACAAUAAGCAGGUUACAGAAGCAGGCUAUGCAUGAGAAUAUGAGCAAACAAUAACAGUAGCAAAAUCUAAUGCAAGCAUGAGAGAAUGGAAUGGACGAUAUUGGGAUGAUCAAAAAGUGGGGCUUGCCUGGUUGCUCAGACAAGAAUGAGGGGUCGUUGGUGACGUAGUCGAUCACAGCGGCAUCAUCGGCCUCGGGGUCUACCGGAGAGAAGAGGGGGAAGAAACAGUAAAUAUAAGCAAACAGAUGCAACGCUAAGCAUGGCAUGACGAUAAGUAGAAUUAGGGUCGAUCUAACGUAGUACUACACGUUGCAGACAGAGGGGAUAAACAUCCAAGGAUGAAUUCCCGGGGUUAGGCGGAUUCCGGACAUAGGAAAAGAGGGGGAAAGUUCCAUGUUCAGCAUGCUAGGGUCAUGUGACAGAUGAACGAGCCACGUAUUCGGAUUCGUUGGAUUUUUCUGAGCAACUUUCAUAUAGAAAACAUUUUCAACCGAGCUAUGGUUUAAUUUAUAUGAUUUUUCAAAGUUUUAUUAAUAUUCUGAAAUUGUUUUAAUUAUUUAUUUCGAAUUUAAAUAAUGUUGAUUAUUUUUAUACCCUGACCGGGCUAGCCACAGUCAAUGACAUGUGGGGCCAAUCAAAGCCCAGCCAACAGGUCAACAGUCACAGUUGACCUUGGUCAAUGUGUGAACAGUGCUAGUGGGUCCUACUUGUCAUGGACACUGUGUCUAUUAAGUCAAUUAAUUAAAGAUAACCAACAGGGUGGUCCACAUGUCAUUUUAUAUUAAAGUAAAUUAGCACUAAUUUAACACUAACUAAUCUAGUCCUAAUUAAAUAAGGGGCCGGCCGUACUGGACAAUGGCCCAGCCGGCCACACACGCAACACACACACCACACACAGCACGCAACACACAAAUCUGUUUUCUGUUAACAAAAGAUAGCAUUUUGUGAUUUUUGUAGGAUUUAUUCCAUGCAUCAAAUGGAUUUGGUCCUGUGGGGUAAAAUGGAGUUUGUCACACAUACUACCUUCCCAUAUUUUUCAAGUCCUGUUAAUGGUUGUUUAACCGCAGAUUAGGGGCUGUAGAGGGGAUUAAUCAAUGUAAAAACUAAAAAGCUAGCUAGCUAGCUAGCUAGCAGGAGUACAGGCAAGCAGCGAUAGGGAGGCAGUAGCAGAGAGCAGAGGCGUAGCGGCAGCGGCAGGAUGCAGUAGCAGCGGGAACGCGCGGGGACGGCAGCGGCUAGCAUCAGUAGAAGUGCAGCAGCAGAGGCACGGCCACGCGCAGGCGGACGCGUGCCUGGGCGCGGCCAGCAAACGGCGCCCGUGGCCGGACGCGACCAGGGGCGCGCGGGCACGACAGCGACCUCAGCGACGGCCCGAGCUCGGUAGGGUGUGGCUACGGCGCAGGAGCUCGAGAUCGAGUGAGUUGGCGAGCUAGGAGGGAGCUACAGGCGUGCGGGAGGCCAGUUAGUGUACGCACGCGACCAGAGGUUCGUCGGAACCUCGCCGGCGACGAGUCCGAGCGGCAGUGGGUUCGGCAACGGUGGUGGCCGCAUCUAGAGGUCGAAAUCGAUGCCGAAAAUAGAGGGGAUGGACACGGAGCUUACGUAGGGAGCGCAAGGGGUCCCGUCGAUGGUUUAGUAGCAGUAGAGGUGGCCGGCGUUGGCGACGGCAGCGGCGUCCGAGACGGAUGGAGGUUGAGGACGGGGAAGCAGCGGGCGUCCCGGUGGCUUCCAGCUCGAUCUCGCCCAUGUAGUCGAAGUAGGCGAGGUCGGGGAGGCCGGAGGCGGACUGGAGUCGCGGCGACGACGGCGGACACCGGCGAUGUACGCGGUGGGGACGGCCUCGAUGGCGAGCGUACGGGGCGGCCCCGCUCGAAUCGAGGCUUGCAGUCGAUGAGGAAGAGGACGGUGGUGCUCCUGGACUAAGCUCGGCGACGAGGGAUGGCCGGUGGCCACGGGAUCGAUGACGACGCGGCGAUGGAGGAGCUCGGGUGGGUGUGGGGCGAGAGUGACGGCGCGUGGGAGGGAAAAAGGAGGCUAGGGUUUGGGGGAGAGGAAGAGGGGGCCGGGGGUUGCUCUUAUCCGCCGGGGGAAACGACGGGGAGGUGUGGGAUGGCUGCCACGGCGUCAUCGGUGGCCAUGGCGCCGGUGGAUCGUUGCCACGAUUCCCCUGUGUGAACAGAGAAGGGAGACGAGGGCGAGUUGGGUUGGGCUGGACCUGUUUUAGCUAAAUGGGCCAAGGGUCCGGUAGGUUUAGGUCUCUUUUUUUUUAAAAUUAAUUUCCUUUUCUGCUUUUCCUUUCUGUUUUGUAAAUAGUUGGAGCACAAAAUGAAUAUUGUGAAGAAUGAAACUUGGCACAUAAUUCAUGGACCAAAUUGUGGUGUUGCACAAAAAGUUAUAAAUCCAACGGAAUUGUUCAAGCAUUUUUGGAAAUUGAAAAAGGCAAUUAAUAUGUCGUUGGGCCACUUUAUAUUUUCCUAGAGAUUAAAGGGAGAGCCAAAUGAUGUUGGUCACCACAUGAUAAUUAGCUAGUGAAUAUUUGCAACCGAAUGGACAUUUUUGUUUUGACAUUUGAAAGCUUUAUUUGUUUGACUUUAUUUUAAAAUCUUGAAUUUGGACCGGAUUUGAACCAACGCGAGUUUAACAACAGUAAUCGUGGUACGUGACAUCAUUAGCAUAUUAUUACUGUAGCUUAAUUAUCCGGGCGUCACAGAUGGAGACUAUGAUUUCCCCACAAGUCGGGAUGAGACUCCGGACGAAAAAAAAGAGGCCAUAAAAAAAGAGAAAAUGCCCCCAAAAAGAGAAAAAAAUCAGACAAAAAAAGAAAAGGGACAAUGUUACUAUCCUUUUACCACACUUGUGCUUCAAAGUAGCACCAUGAUCUUCAUAGUAGAGAGUCUCUUAUGUUAUCAUUUUCAUAUACUAGUGGGAUCUUUCAUUGUAGAACUUGGCUUGUAUAUUCCAAAGAUGGGCUUCCUCAAAUUACCCUAGGUCUUCAUGAGCAAGAAAGUUGGAUGCACACCCACUUAGUUUCUUUUUGAGCUUUCAUAUACUUAUAGCUCUAGUGCAUCCGUUGCAUGGCAAUCCCUACUCACUCAUAUUGAUAUCUAUUGAUGGGCAUCUCCAUAGCCCGUUGAUACGCCUAGUUGAUGUGAGACUAUCUUCUUCCUUUUUGUCUUCUCCACAACCACCACUCUAUUCCACCUAUAGUGCUAUAUCCAUGGCUCACGCUCAUGUAUUGUGUGAAGAUUGAAAAAGUUUUGAGAAUGUCAAAAGUAUGAAACAAUUGCUUGGCUUGUCAUCGGGGUUGUGCAUGAUUUAAAUAUUUUGUAUGGUGAAGAUAGAGCAUAGCCAGACUAUAUGAUUUUGUAGGAAUAACUUUCUUUAACCAUGUUACUUUGAGAAGACAUGAUUGCUUUGUUACUAUGCUUGAAGUAUUAUUAUUUUUAUGUCAAUAUGAACUUUUGUCUUGAAUUUUUCGGAUCUGAAUAUUCAUACCACAAUUAAGAAGAAUUACACUAAAAUUGUGCCAAGUAGCACUCCGCAUCAAAAAUUCUGUUUUUAUCAUUUACCUACUCGAGGACGAGCAGGAAUUAAGCUUGGGGAUACUUGAUACGUCUCCAACGUAUCUAUAAUUUUUGAUUGCUCCAUGCUAUAUUAUCUACUAUUUUGGACAUCAUUAGGCUUUAUUAUUUACUUUUAUAUUAUUUUUGAGACUAACCUUUUAACCGCAGGCCUAGCCCAGAAUUGUUGUUUUUUUGCCUGUUUUAGGGUUUCGAAGAAAAGGAAUAUCAAAUGGAGUCCAAACGGAAUGAAACCUUCGGGAACAAGAUUUUCUCACCGAAUACAACUCAGGAGACUUGGACCCUACGUCAAGCACGUAACAGGAGGCCACGAGGUAGGGGGCGUGCCCUACCCUACCAGGUGCGCCCCCACCCUCGUGGGCCCCCUGUUGCUCCACCGACGUACUUCUUCCUCCUAUAUAUACCCACGUACCCCCAAACAAUCAGAUACAGAGCCAAAACCCGAAUUCCACCGCCGUAACUUUAUGUAUCCACAAGUUACCAUCUUGGGGCCUGUUCCGGAGCUCCGCCGGAGGGGGCAUCGAUCACGGAGGGCUUCUACAUCAACACCAUAGCCUCUCCGAUGAAGUGUGAGUAGUUUACUUCAGACCUACGGGUCCAUAGUUAGUAGCUAGAUGGCUUCUUCUCUCUUUUUGGAUCUCAAUACAAUGUUCUCCCCCUCUCUUGUGGAGAUCUAUUCAAUGUAAUCUUCUUUUUGCGGUCUGUUUGUUGAGACCGAUGAAUUGUGGGUUUAUGAUCAAGUCUAUCUAUGAAUAAUAGUUGAAUCUUCUCUGAAUUCUUUUAUGUAUGAUUGGUUAUCUUUGCAAGUCUCUUCGAAUUAUCAGUUUGGUUUGGCCUACUAGAUUGAUCUUUCUUGCAAUGGGAGAAGUGCUUAGCUUUGGGUUCAAUCUUGCGGUGUCCUUUCCCAGUGACAGUAAGGGCAGCAAGGCACGUAUUGUAUUGUUGCCAUCGAGGAUAACAAGAUGGGGUUUUCUUCAUAUUGCAUGAGUCUAUCCAUGUACAUCAUGUCAUCUUGCUUAAGGCGUUACUCUGUUUUAACUUAAUACUCUAGAUGCAUGCUGGAUAGCGGUCGAUGAAUGGAGUAAUAGUAGUAGAUGCAGGCAGGAGUCGGUCUACUUGUCUCGGACGUGAUGCCUAUAUACAUGAUCAUACCUAGAUAUUCUCAUAACUAUGCUCAAUUCUGACAAUUGCUCAACAGUAAUUUGUUCACCCACCGUACAAUACUUAUGCUCUCGAGAGAAGCCACUAGUGAAACCUAUGGCCCCCGAGUCUAUCUUUAUCAUAUCAAUCUCCUACUACUUAGUAAUUUACUUUGCUAUUUACUUUUGCCUUUAUUUUACUUUGCAUCUUUAUCAUAAAAAUACCAAAAAUAUUAUCUUAUCAUAUCUAUCAGAUCUCACUCUCGUAAGUGGCCCUAUAGGGAUUGACAACCCCUAUUUGCGUUGGUUGCGAGGAUUUAUUUGUUUUGUGUAGGUGCGAGGGACUCGCGCAUAGCCUCCUACUGGAUUGAUACCUUGGUUCUCAAAAACUGAGGGAAAUACUUACGCUACUUUGCUGCAUCAUCCCUUCCUCUUCGGGGAAAACCAAAGCAGUGCUAAAAGAGGUAGCAGGGUGCGCGCUAGCCCCCUGGGCGCGCCCCCUACCUCGUGGCCGCCUCGUGGACCCCCCUGACUUGUUCCCGACGCCAACGCCUCUUAUAUAACCCCAAGCUUCCAGAAAGAAACCUAGAUCGGGAGUUCCGCCACCGCAAGCCUCUAUAGCCACCAAAAACCAAUCUGGGCCCUGUUCUGGCACCCUGUCGGAGGGGAGAUCCAUCACCGGUGGCCAUCUUCAUCAUCCCGGUGCUCUCCAUGAUGAGGAGUGAGUAGUUCACCCUCGGGUUGAGGGUAUGUACCAGUAGAUAUGUGUUUGAAUCUCUCUCUCUCUCUCUCUCUCUCUCGUGUUCUUGAUUCGACACGAUCUUGAUGUAUCACGAGCUUUGCUAUUAUCGUUGGAUCUUAUUAUGUAUCUCCUCCUCUACUCUCUUGUAAUGAAUUUAGUUUUCCCUUUGAAGUUAUCUUAUAGGAUUGAUUCUUUAAGGAUUUGAGAACACUUGAUGUAUGUCUUGCAUGAGCUUAUCUGUGGUGACAAUGGGAUAUUCACGUGAUCCACUUGAUGUAUGUUUUGGUGAUCAACUUGCGAGUUUCGUGACCUUGUGAACUUAUGUAACACCCCGGAUGUAACAUUCCCUAUUCGUACUCCAACUCUUGUCGUUUCCGGCAUUAAGUUAUUUUAUUUUCUCGGGUUCGAGUCUUUGUCCCCAUGUGUUGUUGUCGUUUUCAUGCAUCUCAUAUCAUGUCAUGAUGUGCAUUGUAUUUGCAAACGUGUUCGUCUCAUGCAUUCGAGCAUUUUCCCCGUUGUCCGUUUUGCAUUCCGGCGCUUCGUUCUCCUCCGGUGGUCAUUUCUACCUUUCUUUCAUGUGUGGGGAUUAAACAUUUCCGGAUUGGACCGAGACUUGCCAAGCGGCCUUGGUUUACUACCGGUAGACCGCCUGUCAAGUUUCGUACCAUUUGGAAUUCGUUUGAUACUCCAACAGUUAACCGAGGGACCGAGAAGGCCUCGUGUGUGUUGCAGCCCAACACCCCUUAAAUUUGGCCCAAAACCCACCUAAACCCUCUCCAUCAUCUAGAGCGUUCGAUCACGAUCGCGUGGCCAAAAACCGCACCUCAUUUGGACUCUCCUAGCUCCUCCUAUGCUUAUUUAAAGAUCCCCGAAAAUCUCCGUCUCCUUCCCCCCCCGAAAACCCUAGAUCUCAUCACCGCGCGCCGCCGGACAAAAAUCCCACCGACGGACACGUCCGGGCUGACCCCGCCACCGCCACAUGUCGCCUCCUCACUCGCCGCCGCCUCGCCCCACUNNNNNNNNNNNNNNNNNNNNNNNNNNNNNNNNNNNNNNNNNNNNNNNNNNNNNNNNNNNNNNNNNNNNNNNNNNNNNNNNNNNNNNNNNNNNNNNNNNNNNNNNNNNNNNNNNNNNNNNNNNNNNNNNNNNNNNNNNNNNNNNNNNNNNNNNNNNNNNNNNNNNNNNNNNNNNNNNNNNNNNNNNNNNNNNNNNNNNNNNNNNNNNNNNNNNNNNNNNNNNNNNNNNNNNNNNNNNNNNNNNNNNNNNNNNNNNNNNNNNNNNNNNNNNNNNNNNNNNNNNNNNNNNNNNNNNNNNNNNNNNNNNNNNNNNNNNNNNNNNNNNNNNNNNNNNNNNNNNNNNNNNNNNNNNNNNNNNNNNNNNNNNNNNNNNNNNNNNNNNNNNNNNNNNNNNNNNNNNNNNNNNNNNNNNNNNNNNNNNNNNNNNNNNNNNNNNNNNNNNNNNNNNNNNNNNNNNNNNNNNNNNNNNNNNNNNNNNNNNNNNNNNNNNNNNNNNNNNNNNNNNNNNNNNNNNNNNNNNNNNNNNNNNNNNNNNNNNNNNNNNNNNNNNNNNNNNNNNNNNNNNNNNNNNNNNNNNNNNNNNNNNNNNNNNNNNNNNNNNNNNNNNNNNNNNGCCCUUCUCCGGUGAAGAUUCCGGCGGACCUCGGUUUCCAUGCACUGGAUCCAGAUCUGAAAAUAUCUCCUCGGGUUGACUUUUUCUCUCGAAACCCUAAUCCAUAUGCUCAUGUUCAUAGCCUCGUAACUUUGCAUCCGUAGCUCCGAUUCAUGCAUAUAGCAUAUCAAAAUGUUCAUCUCAGAGAGUACAUCAUUUCAUUCCAUUACAUAUUUUUCAUUUGAGUUCAUCUUGAUGCCCGAAAUGCUGUUUGAAGAGGGCUACUUGAGAUAAUUGUCAGAUCUGCUACUCCGUUUAGCUUUUUGUCAUUUUUGCCAUGAUUAUUGUGUGCAUGAUAUGCCCUGAUGCUCUACAUAUGUCUUGUUAAGGGUUGUGCCAUCUUUCUAGAGGUGCAACCCAUGUAAUUUUGUGAUGUGUGUGGUGACUUGCACAAGCUUGCAAAGUGGUGCACUUGUUAAUUCUGUUUUCAGGGACUUAGCAUUUCCACUAAGUCUUUGAGCAGUUUAUUUCAUAUGGCCAUAUGUUCAUGUUGUUUCCUAGUGAUCCGUGCCUCUUUUGAGGAUGAUCAGUAAGGAUGUUUUGUUAAUAUUGUAGUGCUCUAUCCAUCCAUGUCUUUGUUUGCAAUUAUGGAGCACCCUAGCUUGAGUCAAUCGAGCUCUACUUUUGCUACUUUGUGAAUCUGGGCAGAUUGUCAACUUGUUUGCAAUUUUGCUGAUGUUGUUGUAGUUGAUCCGUGCAUGCUAUGUUAUUGUUCUUGCCAUGUCUAGCUUGCAUUUUGUGUGUUCUUGAUAGAUGUAUGCUUAGCUUGUCAUGACUUGUUCCGUAGUGAGUGCAUCAAGCUCGUAAACAUGCCUACUUGAGUUAUGUUUCAGCAUGUGCCAGUUUUUCACUAAGUCUGAAAACUGAUUAUGUUUUUGCCAUGUUCACAUGCUUGCAAUUGUAUUUUCUGAUCCCUUUUGGCUCAAGGUCACUAAGGGACUUUUGUUAAGCUCUUUGAGUAGCUCCAUGCCAUGCUUUACUUUGCCAUGUUGAGGUCCUGUAGCAUAUAGUUUUGUUGCUCCGAAGAGUGCUAUCUGAUCUGAAAUUCCAGACAAGUGUUAAUUUCACAAAGUCUGAGAUCUGUUUACCAUAUGCAUUUUUGCCAUGCUUGUUUGAACCUGUUAAUGGGUGAAUUGGCGGUAGCUCAGUGCUAGACUUUUGUUAAGCAUCUUGAAUGCAUCUCUGGCAUGUAUUUUGUUGUCAUGUUUGGGUGCUGUAGCAUGUUCAUCUCAUUGCAAUUAGAUGGCUACUUGCUCUCUAAACUUGCACCUUGCGGAUUCCACUAUUAAGAAACCUAUGGGAAGAAUUAAUGAUUUUCUUAUUGUUGCAAAUAGGAAUUAUGUGCCCGUAUAUUUUAUCAUUCUUGACAUAUAUUGCAAUCCUUCAUGUCCUAUUAUUCUUGGUAGACCUUUCCUUAGAACAAUUGGUGCAAUUAUUGAUAUGAAGGAAGGAAAUAUUAGAUUCCAAUUCCCAUUAAGGAAAGGCAUGGAACACUUUCCUAGAAAGAAAAUUAAAUUACCUUAUUAAUCUAUUAUGAGAGCCACUUAUGGAUUGCCUACCAAAGAUGGCAAUACCUAGAUCUAUUCUUGCUUGUUAUGCCUAGCUAGGGGCGUUAAACGAUAGCGCUUGUUGGGAGGCAACCCAAUUUUAUUGUUAUUCCUUGAUUUUUGCUCCUGUUUAGUAAUAAAUAAAUUAUCUAGACUCUGUUUUGGUUGUGUUUUUUGUGUUUAAUUAGUUUUUGUGCCAAGUAGAACCGUUGGGAAGACUUGGGUGAAGUCUUGUUGAACUUGCUGUAAAAAACAGAAACUUUAGCGCUCACGAGAACUGCUGUCAUUUUUAUUUGGAAAGUUAUAUUUAGUUAAUUCUUCUUUCAGAUGAUUAAUAGAUAAAUUCAUCAAGUCCAGCAAUUUAUUUUAGAAUUUUUGGGGUUCCAUAUGUUGCGCUAGCUACAGAUUACUACAGACUGUUCUGUUUUUAACAGAUUCUGUUUUUCGUGUGUUGUUUACUUAUUUUGAUGAAUCUAUGCCUAGUAAAUUAGUUUAUAAACCAUAGAGAAGUUGGAAUACAGUAGGUAUAACACCCAUAUAAAUAAAUAAUGAGUUCAUUACAGUACCUUGAAGUGAUCUUUUAUUCUCAUUCGCUAACGGAGCUCACGAGAUUUUCUACUUUAAGUUUUGUGUUGUGAAGUUUUCAAGUUUUGGGUAAAGAUUUAAUGAAUUAUGGAACAAGGAGUGGGAAGAGCCUAAGCUUGGGGAUGCCCAUGUCACCCCCAAGAUAAUCUAAGGACACCUAAAAGCCAAAGCUUGAGGAUGCCCCGGAAGGCAUCCCCUCUUUCGUCUACUUCUAUCGGUAACUUUACUUGGAGCUAUAUUUUUAUUUACCACAUGAUAUUUGUUUUGCUUGGAGCGUCUUGUAUGAUUUGAUUCUUUGCUUGUUGGUUUACCACAAUCAUACUUGCUGUACACACCUUUUGAGAGAUCCAUAUAUGAUUUGGAAUUUGUUAGAAUACUCUAUGUGCUUCGCUUAUAUCUUUUGAGUUAUAUAAUUUUGCUUUAGUGCUUCACUUAUAUCUUUUAGAGCACGAUGGUGGAUUUGUUUUAUAUAAACUAUUGAUCUCUCAUGCUUCACUUAGAUUAUUUUGAGAGUCUUAAUAGCAUGGUAAUUUGCUUAAAAUCCUAAUAUGCUUGGUAUGCAAGAUUAAUAAUAAAACUCUUUUAUGAGUGUGUUGAAUACUAUGAUAAGUUUGAUACUUGAUAAUUGUUUUGAGAUAUGGAGAUGGUGAUAUUAAAGUCAUGCUAGUUGAGUAGUUGUGAAUUUGAGAAAUACUUGUUUUGAAGCUUGUGAUUCCCGUAGCAUUUACGUGUGGUGAGCCGUUAUGUGAUGAAGUCGGAGCAUGAUUUAUUUAUUGAUUGUCUUCCUUAUGAGUGGCGGUCGGGGACGAGCGAUGGUCUUUUCCUACCAAUCUACCCCCCUAGGAGCAUGAGCGUAAUACUUUGCUUUGAUAACUUGUAGAUUUUUACAAUAAGUAUAUGAGUUCUUUAUGACUAAUGUUGAGUCCAUGGAUUAUACGCACUCUCACCCUUCCACCUUUGCUAGCCUCUCUAAUACCGCGCACCUUUUCGCCGGUAUCAUACACCCACCAUAUACCUUCCUCAAAACAGCCACCAUACCUACCUAUUAUGGCAUUUCCAUAGCCAUUCCGAGAUAUAUUACCAUGCAACUUUCCACCAUUCCGUUUAUGACACACUCCAUCAUUGUCAUAUUGCUUAGCAUGAUCAUGUAGUUGACAUAGUAUUUGUGGCAAAGCCACCAUUCAUAAUCCUUUCAUACAUGUCACUCAUGCAUCAUUGCAUAUCCCGGUACACUGCCGGAGGCAUUCAUAUAUAGUCAUAUUUUGUUCUAAGUAUCGAGUUGUAAUUGUUGAGUUGUAAAAAAAGUGUGAUGAUCAUCAUUACUAGAGCAUUGUCCCAGUGAGGAAAGGAUGAUGGUGUGACGCCCUCGAUUCAAUCAUACACUAAUUAUACAUGCAAAUGUGUACGAUCAACAUCAAGGACUCACGGGAAGAUAUCACAACACAACUCUAGACACAAAGUAAAAAUAAUACAAGCUUUAUAUUACAAGCCAGGGGCCUCGAGGGCUCGAAUACAUAAGCUCGAAUACACACGAGUCAACGGAAGCAACAAUUGUUGGAAAUAUGCCCUAGAGGCAAUAAUAAAAGCAUUAUUAUUAUAUUUCCUUGUUCAUGAUAAUUGUCUUUAUUCAUGCUAUAAUUGUGUUAUCCGGAAAUCGUAAUACAUGUGUGAAUAAUAGACACCAACAUGUCCCUAGUAAGCCUCUAGUUGACUAGCUUGUUGAUCAACAGAUAGUCAUGGUUUCCUGACUAUGGACAUUGGAUGUCAUUGAUAACGAGAUCACAUCAUUAGGAGAAUGAUGUGAUGGACAAGACCCAAUCCUAAACAUAGCAUAAGAUCGUAUAGUUUGUUUGCUAGAGUUUUCCAAUGUCAAAGUAUCUUUUCCUUAGACCAUGAGAUCGUGUAACUCCCGGAUACCGUAGGAGUGCUUUGGGUGUGCCAAACGUCACAACGUAACUGGGUGACUAUAAAGGUAUACUACGGGUAUCUCCGAAAGUGUCUGUUGGGUUGACAUGGAUCAAGACUGGGAUUUGUCACUCCGUAUGACGGAGAGGUAUCACUGGGCCCACUCGGUAAUGCAUCACCAUAAUGAGCUCAGAGUGACCAAGUGUCUGGUCAUGGGAUCAUGCAUUACGGUACGAGUAAAGUGACUUGCCGAUAACGAGAUUGAACGAGGUAUUGGGAUACCGACGAUCGAAUCUCGGGCAAGUAACAUAUCGAUUGACAAAGGGAAUUGUAUACGGGGUUGCUUGAAUCCUCGACAUCGUGGUUCAUCCGAUGAGAUCAUUGAGGAGUAUGUGGGGGCCAACAUGGGUAUCCAGAUCCCGCUGUUGGUUAUUGACCGGAGAGCGAUCACGGUCAUGUCUACAUGUCUCCCGAACCCGUAGGGUCUACACACUUAAGGUUCGGUAACGCUAGGGUUGUAGGGAUAUGUAUAUGUAGUAACCCGAAUGUUGUUCGGACUCCCGAAUGAGAUCCCGGACGUCACGAGGAGUUCCGCAAUGGUCCGUAGGUAAAGAUUUAUAUAUGGGAAGUCCUGUUUCGGCCAUCGGGACAAGUUUCGGGGUCAUCGGUAUUGUACCGGAACCACCGGAAGGGUCCCGGGGGUCCACCGGGUGGGGCCACCUGUCCCGGGGGGCCACAUGGGCUGUAGGGGGUGCGCCUUGGCCUACAUGGGCCAAGGGCACCAGCCCCAAGAGGCCCAUGCGCCUAGGGUUUCAAGGAGGAAGAAUCCUAGGAGGGGAAGGCACCUCCUAGGUGCCUUGGGGAGGAAGGAUUCCUCCCCCUUGGCCGCACCCCCUAGGAGAUUGGAUCUCCUAGGGCCGGCGCCCCCCCCCCCCUUGGCCCUCCUAUAUAUGGUGGGGGAAGGAGGGCUUUUGAUCCACGCCUUUUGGUUGCCUCCUUCUCCCUCUCCAACACCUCCUCCUCCUCCAUAGCGCUUGGCGAAGCCCUGACGGAGUACUGCAGCUCCAUCACCACCACGCCGUCGUGUUGCUGCUGGAGCCAUCUUCCUCAACCUCUUCUUCCCUCUUGCUGGAUCAAGAAGAAGGAGACGUUACGCUGACCGUACGUGUGUUGAACGCGGAGGUGCCGUCCGUUCGGUGCUAGGAUCUCCGGUGAUUUGGAUCACGUCGUGUUCGACUACCUCAUCCCCGUUCUUUGAACGCUUCCGCUCGCGAUCUACAAAGGUAUGUAGAUGCAUCCGAUCACUCGUUGCUAGAUGAACUCCUAGAUGGAUCUUGGUGAAACCGUAGGGAAAUUUUUGUUUUUCUGCUACGUUCCCCAACAGUGGCAUCAUGAGCUAGGUCUAUGCGUAGUUCUUCUUGCGCGAGUAGAACACAAUUUGUUGUGGGCGUAGAUGUUGUCAACUUUCUUGCCGCUACUAGUCUUAUCUUGCCUCAACGGUAUUGUGGGAUGAAGCGGCCCGGACCAACCUUACACGUACGCUUACGUGAGACCGGUUCCACCGACUAACAUGCACAAGUUGCAUAAGGUGGCUGGCGGGUGUCUGUCUCUCCUACUUUAGUUGGAGCGGAUUCGAUGAAAAGGGUCCUUAUGAAGGGUAAAUAGAAGUUGACAAAUCACGUUGUGGUUUUCACGUAGGUAAGAAAACGUUCUUGCUAGAACCCUACUUCAGCCACGUAAAACUUGCAACAACAAUUAGAGGACGUCUAACUUGUUUUUGCAGCAAGUGCUUUGUGAUAUGAUAUGGCCAAAGUUGUGAUGAAUGAUGAAUGAUCUAUAUGUGAUGUAUGAGAUGUUCAUGAUAUUGUAACGGGAAUCACGACUUGCAUGUCGAUGAGUAUGACAACCGGCAGGAGCCAUAGGAGUUGUCUUUAUUUUUUGUAUGACCUGCUGUCAUUGAGAAACUCCAUGUAAAUUACUUUACUUUAUUGCUAAACGCGUUAGCCAUAGUAGUAGAAGUAAUAGUUGGCGAGCAACUUCAUGGAGACACAAUGAUGGAGAUCAUGAUGAUGGAGAUCAUGGUGUCAUGCCGGUGACAAGAUGAUCAUGGAGCCCCAAGAUGGAGAUCAAAGGAGCUAUGUGAUAUUGGCCAUAUCAUGUCACUAUUAUUAUUUGAUUGCAUUUGAUGUUUAUCAUGUUUUGCAUCUUGUUUACUUAGAACGACGGUAGUAAAUAAGAUGAUCCCUGAUAAUAAUUUCAAGAAAGUGUUCCCCCUAACUGUGCACCGUUGCGACAGUUCGUUGUUUCAAUGCACCACGUGAUGAUCGGGUGUUUGAUUCAAAACGUUCACAUACAACGGGUGUAAGACAGAUUUACACAUGCAAACACUUAGGUUGACUUGACGAGCCUAGCAUGUGUAUAGACAUGGCCUCGGAACACAGAAGACCGAAAGGUCGAGCAUGAGUCGUAUAGAAGAUACGAUCAACAUGAAGAUGUUCACCGAUGUUGACUAGUCCGUCUCACGUGAUGAUCGGACACGGCCUAGUUGACUCGGAUCAUGUUAUACUUAGAUGACUAGAAGAGGGAUGUCUAUCUAAGUGGGAGUUCAUUGAAUAAUUUGAUUAGAUGAACUUAAUUAUCAUGAACUUAGUCUAAAAUCUUUAUAAUAUGUCUUGUAGAUCAAAUGGCCAACGUAGUCCUCAACUUCAACACGUUCCUAGAGAAAACCAAGCUGAAAGACGAUGGCAGCAACUAUACGGACUGGGUCCGGAACCUGAGGAUCAUCCUCAUAGCUGCCAAGAAAGAUUAUGUCCUACAAGCACCGCUGGGUGACGCACCUGUUCUCCCUGCAGAACAAGACGUUAUGAACGCUUGGCAGGCACGUACCGAUGACUACUCCCUCGUUCAGUGCGGCAUGCUUUACAGCCUAGAGCCGGGGCUCCAAAAGCGUUUUGAGAGACAUGGAGCAUAUGACAUGUUCGAAGAGCUGAAAAUGGUUUUCCAAGCUCAUGCCCGGGUCGAGAGAUAUGAAGUCUCUGACAAAUUCUUCAGCUGUAAGAUGGAGGAAAAUAGUUCUGUCAGUGAGCACAUACUCACUAUGUCUGGGUUACAUAACCGCUUGACUCAGCUGGGAGUUAAUCUCCCGGAUGAUGCGGUCAUUGACAGAAUCCUCCAGUCGCUUCCACCGAGCUACAAGAGCUUUGUGAUGAACUUCAAUAUGCAGGGGAUGGAAAAGACCAUUCCUGAAGUAUUUGCUAUGCUGAAAUCAGCAGAGGUAGAAGUCAAGAAGGAACAUCAAGUGUUGAUGGUCAAUAAAACCACUAAGUUCAAGAAGGGCAAAGGUAAAAAGAACUUCAAGAAGGACGACAAGGGAGUUGCCGCGCCUGGCAAGCAAGCUGCCGGAAAGAAGCCAAAGAAUGGACCCAAGCCCGAGACUGAGUGCUUUUAUUGCAAGGGAAGUGGUCACUGGAAGCGGAACUGCCCCAAAUACUUAGCGGACAAGAAGGCCGGCAAAACAAAAGGUAUAUAUGAUAUACAUGUAAUUGAUGUGUACCUUACUAGUACCCGUAGUAGCUCCUGGGUAUUUGAUACCGGUGAAGUUGCUCACAUUUGUAACUCAAAGCAGGGGUUGCGGAAUAAGCGGAGACUGGCAAAGGACGAGGUGACGAUGCGCGUCGGGAAUGGUUCCAAGGUUAAUGUGAUCGCUGUCUGCACGCUACCUCUACAUUUACCUUCAGGAUUAGUUUUAAACCUUAAUAAUUGUUAUUUAGUGCCAGCUUUGAGCAUGAACAUUGUAUCGGGAUCUCGUUUAAUUCGAGAUGGCUACUCAUUUAAAUCCGAGAAUAAUGGUUGUUCUAUUUAUAUGAGAGAUAUGUUUUAUGGUCAUGCUCCUAUGGUGAAUGGUUUAUUCUUAAUGAAUCUCGAGCGUAAUGCUACACAUAUUCAUAGUGUGAGUACCAAAAGAUGUAAGGUUGAUAAUGAUAGUCCCACAUACUUGUGGCACUGCCGCCUUGGUCACAUAGGUGUCAAACGCAUGAAGAAGCUCCAUGCAGAUGGACUUUUAGAGUCUCUUGAUUAUGAAUCAUUUGACACGUGCGAACCAUGCCUCAUGGGUAAAAUGACCAAGACUCCGUUCUCAGGAACAAUGGAGCGAGCAACCAACUUAUUGGAAAUCAUACAUACUGAUGUGUGCGGUCCAAUGAGUGUUGAGGCUCGCGGUGGAUAUCGUUAUGUUCUCACCCUCACUGAUGACUUGAGUAGAUAUGGGUAUAUCUACUUAAUGAAACACAAGUCUGAAACCUUUGAAAAGUUCAAGGAAUUUCAGAGUGAGGUUGAGAAUCAACGUGACAGGAAAAUCAAGUUUCUACGAUCAAAUCGUGGAGGAGAAUACUUGAGUCACGAAUUUGGCACACACUUAAGAAAAUGUGGAAUAGUUUCACAACUCACGCCGCCUGGAACACCUCAGCGUAAUGGUGUGUCCGAACGUCGUAAUCGCACUCUAUUAGAUAUGGUACGAUCUAUGAUGUCUCUUACCGAUUUACCGCUAUCUUUUUGGGGCUAUGCUUUAGAGACUACCGCAUUCACUUUAAAUAGGGCUCCAUCGAAAUCCGUUGAGACGACACCGUUUGAAUUAUGGUUUGGGAAGAAACCUAAGCUGUCGUUUCUAAAAGUUUGGGGAUGUGAUGCUGAUGUCAAGAAACUUCAACCUGAAAAGCUCGAACCCAAGUCGGAAAAAUGCGUCUUCAUAGGAUACCCUAAAGAAACUACUAGGUAUACCUUCUACCUCAGAUCCGAAGGCAAGAUCUUUGUUGCCAAGAAUGGAUUCUUUCUAGAGAAAGAGUUUCUCUCAAAAUAAGUGAGUGGGAGGAAAGUAGACCUUGAUGAAGUAUUACCUCUUGAACCGGAAAAUGGCGCAACUCAAGAAAAUGUUCCUGAGGUGCCUGCACUGACAAGAGAGGAAGUUAAUGAUGAUGAUCAAGAUACUUCUGAUCAAGCUCCUACUGAAAUUCGAAGGUCCACAAGGACACGUUCUGCACCAGAGUGGUACGGCAACCCUGUCUUGGAAAUCAUGUUGUUAGACAACGGUGAACCUUCGAACUAUGAAGAAGCGAUGGCGGGCCCGGAUUCUGACAAAUGGCUAGAAGCCAUGAAAUCCGAGAUAGGAUCCAUGUAUGAAAACGAAGUAUGGACUUUGACUGACUUGCCCAUUGAACGGCGAGCCAUACAAAAUAAAUGGAUCUUUAAGAAGAAGACAGACGCGGAUGGUAAUGUGACCAUCUAUAAAGCUCGGCUUGUCGCUAAGGGUUAUCGACAAGUUCAAGGGGUUGACUACGAUGAGACUUUCUCACCGGUAGCGAAGCUGAAGUCCGUCCGAAUCAUGUUAGCAAUUGCCGCAUUCUAUGAUUAUGAGAUAUGGCAAAUGGACGUCAAAACGGCAUUCCUUAAUGGUUUCCUUAAGGAAGAAUUGUAUAUGAUGCAGCCGGAAGGUUUUAUCGAUCCUAAGAAUGCUGACAAGGUGUGCAAGCUCCAACGCUCGAUUUAUGGGCUGGUGCAAGCAUUUCGGAGUUGGAACAUUCGCUUUGAUGAGAUGAUCAAAGCGUUUGGGUUUACGCAGACUUAUGGAGAAGCCUGCGUUUAUAAGAAAGUGAGUGGGAGCUCUGUAGCAUUUCUCAUAUUAUAUGUAGAUGACAUACUUCUGAUGGGAAAUGAUAUAGAACUCUUGGACAGCAUUAAGGCCUACUUGAAUAAAAGUUUUUCAAUGAAGGACCUUGGAGAAGCUGCUUAUAUAUUAGGCAUCAAGAUCUACAGAGAUAGAUCAAGACGCCUCAUAGGUCUUUCACAAAGCACAUACCUUGAUAAGAUAUUGAAGAAGUUCAAUAUGGAUCAAUCUAAGAAGGGGUUCUUGCCUGUGUUACAAGGUAUGAAAUUGAGCUCAGCUCAAUGUCCGACCACGGCAGAAGAUAUAGAAGAGAUGAGUGUCAUCCCCUAUGCCUCAGCCAUAGGUUUUAUUAUGUAUGCCAUGUUGUGUACCAGACCUGAUGUAAACCUUGCCGUAAGUUUGGUAGGAAGGUACCAAAGUAAUCCCGGCAAGGAACACUGGACAGCGGUCAAGAAUAUCCUGAAGUACCUGAAAAGGACUAAGAAAAUGUUUCUCGUUUAUGGAGGUGACGAAGAGCUCGUCGUAAAGGGUUACGUCGACGCUAGCUUCGACACAGAUCCGGAUGACUCUAAGUCACAAACCGGAUACGUGUAUAUUUUGAAUGGUGGGGCAGUAAGCUGGUGCAGUUGCAAGCAGAGCGUCGUGGCGGGAUCUACAUGUGAAGCGGAGUACAUGGCUGCCUCGGAGGCAGCACAUGAAGCAAUAUGGGUGAAGGAGUUCAUCACCGACCUAGGAGUCAUACCCAAUGCGUCGGGGCCAAUCAAACUCUUCUGUGACAACACUGGAGCUAUUGCACUUGCCAAGGAGCCCAGGUUUCACAAGAAGACCAGGCACAUCAAGCGUCGCUUCAACUCCAUUCAUGAAAAUGUUCAAGAUGGAGACAUAGAGAUUUGUAAAGUACAUACGGACCUGAAUGUAGCGGAUCCGUUGACUAAACCUCUCCCUAGAGCAAAACAUGAUCAACACCAGAAUUCCAUGGGUGUUCGAUUCAUUACAAUGUAACUAGAUUAUUGACUCUAGUGCAAGUGGGAGACUGUUGGAAAUAAGCCCUAGAGGCAAUAAUAAAAGCAUUAUUAUUAUAUUUCCUUGUUCAUGAUAAUUGUCUUUAUUCAUGCUAUAAUUGUGUUAUCCGGAAAUCGUAAUACAUGUGUGAAUAAUAGACACCAACAUGUCCCUAGUAAGCCUCUAGUUGACUAGCUCGUUGAUCAACAGAUAGUCGUGGUUUCCUGACUAUGGACAUUGGAUGUCAUUGAUAACGAGAUCACAUCAUUAGGAGAAUGAUGUGAUGGACAAGACCCAAUCCUAAACAUAGCAUAAGAUCGUAUAGUUCGUUUGCUAGAGUUUUCCAAUGUCAAAGUAACUUUUCCUUAGACCAUGAGAUCGUGUAACUCCCGGAUACCGUAGGAGUGCUUUGGGUGUGCCAAACGUCACAACGUAACUGGGUGACUAUAAAGGUAUACUACGGGUAUCUCCGAAAGUGUCUGUUGGGUUGACAUGGAUCAAGACUGGGAUUUGUCGCUCCGUAUGACGGAGAGGUAUCACUGGGCCCACUCGGUAAUGCAUCAUCAUAAUGAGCUCAGAGUGACCAAGUGUCUGGUCACGGGAUCAUGCAUUACGGUACGAGUAAAGUGACUUGCCGGUAACGAGAUUGAACGAGGUAUUGGGAUACCGACGAUCGAAUCUCGGGCAAGUAACAUAUCGAUUGACAAAGGGAAUUGUAUACGGGGUUGCUUGAAUCCUCGACAUCGUGGUUCAUCCGAUGAGAUCAUUGAGGAGCAUGUGGGGGCCAACAUGGGUAUCCAGAUCCCGCUGUUGGUUAUUGACCGGAGAGCGAUCACGGUCAUGUCUACAUGUCUCCCGAACCCGUAGGGUCUACACACUUAAGGUUCGAUAACGCUAGGGUUGUAGGGAUAUGUAUAUGCAGUAACCCAAAUGUUGUUUGGAGUCCCGGAUGAGAUCCCGGACGUCACGGGGAGUUCCGGAAUGGUCCGGAGGUAAAGAUUUAUAUAUGGGAAGUCCUGUUUCGGCCAUCGGAACAAGUUUCGGGGUCAUCGGUAUUGUACUGGGACCACCGGAAGGGUCCCGGGGGUCCAUCGGGUGGGGCCACCUGUCCCGGGGGGCCACAUGGGCUGUAGGGGGUGCGCCUUGGCCUACAUGGGCCAAGGGCACCAGCCCCAAGAGGCCCAUGCGCCUAGGGUUUCAAGGAGGAAGAGUCCUAGGAGGGGAAGGCACCUCCUAGGUGCCUUGGGGAGGAAGGAUUCCUCCCCCUUGGCCGCACCCCCUAGGAGAUUGGAUCUCCUAGGGCCGGCGCCCCCCCCCUUGGCCCUCCUAUAUAUAGUGGGGGAAGGAGGGCUUUUGAUCCACGCCUUUUGGUUGCCUCCUUCUCCCUCUCCAACACCUCCUCCUCCUCCAUAGCGCUUGGCGAAGCCCUGACGGAGUACUGCAGCUCCAUCACCACCACGCCGUCGUGUUGCUGCUGGAGCCAUCUUCCUCAACCUCUUCUUCCCUCUUGCUGGAUCAAGAAGAAGGAGACGUUACACUGACCGUACGUGUGUCGAACGCGGAGGUGCCGUCCGUUCGGUGCUAGGAUCUCCGGUGAUUUGGAUCACGUCGUGUUCGACUACCUCAUCCCCGUUCUUUGAACGCUUCCGCUCACGAUCUACAAAGGUAUGUAGAUGCAUCCGAUCACUCGUUGCUAGAUGAACUCCUAGAUGGAUCUUGGUGAAACCGUAGGGAAAUUUUUGUUUUUCUGCUACGUUCCCCAACAACAAUAUCUGAGUACAGACAUAAGUUAGACAAGUUUGCCUUAAGAAGGCUAGCACAAAAGCAACAAUGAUCGAAAAGGCAAGGCCUCCUACCUGGGAGCCUCCUAACUACUCCUGGUCAUCAUCGGUCUCCACGUAGUAGUAGGCAUCGGCGGUGGCAUCUGGCUUCUGGGUUCCGACAUUUGGUUGCAUCAACCGGAAAGAAGAAGAAAGGGGGAAAAGGGGGAGCAAAGCAACCGUGAGUACUCAUCUAAAGUACUCGCAAGCAAGGAUCUACACUACAUAUGCAACAUUAUCAAAGGAAGUCUGUAUAUGUGGACUGGGCUGCAGAAAUGCCAGAAUAGAGAGAAGGCCUAGUCCUAUUGAAGACUAGCAUCUUCUGGAAACCACCAUCCUGCAGCAACAGGAGGGAGUAGAGUAGCAUAAAGUAAAGUAGUAGUAAUGUUAUCAACCUCGGCCAGAGAUCCUUUCUCGACUCCCUGCAAGAAAGCAAUCCCAGAGCCAUACUAUCCAGUUAUCAUCACAAUCCAUUCCUCAUAUCCAAGUCUCAUCUCAAGUCUCCAGUUCUAGUUGUAUCGAUCGGGAUACAACUCCAAGUGUCCGUUACCGUAGGACAGGCUAUCGAUAGAUGUUUUCUUCCCUGCAGGGGUGCACCAACUUACCCACCACGCUCGAUUAACUCCGGCCGGACACACUUUCCUGGGUCAUGCCCGGCCUCGGCCAAACAAUACACCGCAACCCGACCUAGGCUUAAUAGAGAGGUCAGCACGCCGGACUAAACCUAUGCCCCCAGGGGUCAUGGGUCAUCUCCUCGGGAACUCCUGCACGUUGCGAAUGCGGCCGGUGAGCAGACCUAGCUACCUCCUUCAACAAGGUAGGUGCUUUCCAGUCCAACCCGGCGCGCGCCGCUCAGUCGCUGACGUCUAUUAAGCUUCGGCUGAUGCAUAUGACGCAGAACGCCCAUACUAUGCCCACGUGAUGGUUAGUGCUAUCAGGCCAGAGGCCCCUCGGAUCAAAUAUCCAAAUCGUAGUGGAUUAGGAAAGCGCGUUAACAAGUAGAGACUCACGAAAGAUGUGACCCCGUUGCCCUGUCUCGAGGACUUGCGGCAAGGGCUAGGAAUGCCCGGCCACGCCUCGUAAUUAUCUCGCGGGCACCUUCCAGGUCCGCCCGACUCCACAUCACUCGCAAUUAAGCUCGCGCGGGUACCCCUUAGGGUCGACCCGUCUUUCCAAGUAACAGUGGUAAAGUCCAAGUUCUGUGUGUCCAAACAUCAAGGGGAAAACCCGAGGAAUCACCCCCGAUGAAUUCCACUAGAUGUAAUCAUCAAGGUGAACGUAAGAGGAAUCAACCCCGAGGUUCACACUUGAGGGGUUGCACGACAGAGUCGUAUCGGAAGUGGUUAAGGAGAAAUCACCCUCGAUGACCACGACCGAAUGACUACACUACAGGGUUAACAUCAGAAGUGCUGAAGAGGUUUCACCCUCGGCACUCGAUAGUAACCCAGUAGUGUCGAGCAACUAAGGGGAAAGUGAUGUGCGGUGUCGGGGCCUGGUCUUCGAUCCCGUUGAUCGGGUCUUCGAUGAUGAAGCAGGGGCAACAGGGACAAGGUGGGGGAUCACUGAUGGAUCACUAACCAACCUAUACUAAGCAAUUUAGGAUAAGCAGGUAAGGUAACAAUAAGCAGGUUACAGAAGCAGGCUAUGCAUGAGAAUAUGAGCAAACAAUAACAGUAGCAAAAUCUAAUGCAAGCAUGAGAGAAUGGAAUGGACGAUAUCGGGAUGAUCAAAAAGUGGGGCUUGCCUGGUUGCUCAGACAAGAACGAGGGGUCGUCGGUGACGUAGUCGAUCACAGCGGCAUCAUCGGCCUCGGGGUCUACCAGAGAGAAGAGGGGGAAGAAACAGUAAAUAUAAGCAAACAGAUGCAACGCUAAGCAUGGCAUGACGAUAAGUAGAAUUAGGGUUGAUCUAACGUAGUACUACACGUUGCAGACAGAGGGGAUAAACAUCCAAGGAUGAAUUCCCGGGGUUAGGCGGAUUCCGGACAUAGGAAAAGAGGGGGAAAGUUCCAUGUUCAGCAUACUAGGAUCAUGUGACAGAUGAACGAGCCACGUAUUCGGAUUCGUUGGAUUUUUCUGAGCAACUUUCAUAUAGAAAACAUUUUCAACCGAGCUAUGGUUUAAUUUAUAUGAUUUUUCAAAGUUUUAUUAAUACUCUGAAAUUGUUUUAAUUAUUUAUUUCGAAUUUAAAUAAUGUUGAUUCUUUUUAUACCCUGAUCGGGCUAGCCACAGUCAAUGACAUGUGGGGCCAAUCAAAGCCCAGCCAACAGGUCAACAGUCAAAGUUGACCUUGGUCAAUGUGUGAACAGGGCUAGUGAGUCCUACUUGUCAUGGACACCAUGUCUAUUAAGUCAAUUAAUUAAAGAUAACCAACAGGGUGGUCCACAUGUCAUUUUCUAUUAAAGUAAAUUACCACUAAUUUAACACUAACUAAUCUAGUCCUAAUUAAACAAGGGGCCGGCCGUACUGGACAAUGGCCCAGCCGGCCACACACGCAACACACACACCACACACAGCACGCAACACACAAAUCUGUUUUUUGUUAACAAAAGAUAGCAUUUUGUGAUUUUCGUAGGAUUUAUUCCAUGCAUCAAAUGGAUUUGGUCCAGUGGGGUAAAAUGGAGUUUGUCACACAUACUACCUUCCCAUAUUUUUCAAGUCCUGUUAACGGUUGUUUAACCGCAGAUUAGGGGCUGUAGAGGGGAUUAAUCAAUGUAAAAACUAAAAAGCUAGCUAGCUAGCUAGCAGGAGGACAGGCAAGAGCGAUAGGGAGGCAGUAGCAGAGAGCAGAGGCGUAGCGGCAGCGGCAGGAUGCAGUAGCAGCGGGAACGCGCGGGGACGGCAGCGGCUAGCAUCAGUAGAAGUGCAGCAGCAGAGGCACGGCCACGCGCAGGCGGACGCGUGCCUGGGCGCGGCCAGCAAGCGGCACCCGUGGCCGGACGCGACCAGGGGCGUGCGGGCACGACAGCGACCUCAGCGACGGCCCGAGCUCGGUAGGGUGUGGCUACGGCGCAGGAGCUCGAGAUCGAGUGAGUUGGCGAGCUAGGAGGGAGCUACAGGCGUGCGGGAGGCCAGUUAGUGUACGCACGCGACCAGAGGUUCGUCGGAACCUCGCCGGCGACGAGUCCGAGCGGCAGUGGGUUCGGCAACGGUGGUGGCCGCAUCUAGAGGUCGAAAUCGAUGCCGAAAAUAGAGGGGAUGGACACGGAGCUUACGUAGGGAGCGCAAGGGGUCCCGUCGAUGGUUUAGUAGCAGUAGAGGUGGCCGGCGUUGGCGACGGCAGCGGCGACCGAGACGGAUGGAGGUUGAGGACGGGGAAGCAGCGGGCGUCCCGGUGGCUUCCAGCUCGAUCUCGCCCAUGUAGUCGAAGUAGGCGAGGUCGGGGAGGCCGGAGGCGGACUGGAGUCGCGGCGACGACGGCGGACACCGGCGAUGUACGCGGUGGGGACGGCCUCGAUGGCGAGCGUACGGGGCGGCCCCGCUCGAAUCGAGGCUUGCAGUCGAUGAGGAAGAGGACAGUGGUGCUCCUGGACUAAGCUCGGCGACGAGGGAUGGCCGGUGGCCACGGGAUCGAUGACGACGCGGCGAUGGAGGAGCUCGGGUGGGUGCGGGGCGAGAGUGACGGCGCGUGGGAGGGAAAAAGGAGGCUAGGGUUUGGGGGAGAGGAAGAGGGGGCCGG
rnacentral:lncRNA from 1 species